rnacentral:sRNA from 1 species
AACAAUUUGCAUUAGCUUCGCGUUUUGUAACGCAAGGGACGGUAAUGAAGAAGAUGAUGAUUAAAACGUCUUCAUUUUUUGCAAAUGAGAAGUUGGAUAACGAAGCGGUUGUGGCCAAACUAAAGGAACUUCCAAAGGGUAAUGAGAAUCUUAGUAUUGAAUGCUUCUGAUGGAAUUUGGUUAGAAUCUAGUAGAAAAUAAUAUUUCUAGCCCUAUGUGACAUUGAUUGUGGUGA